UUUAAAUGGUUCUCGUAUCUUGCUCUGUGCAGUCAAAUUGAAGGAGUGAAGUCCACUCGACUUCCCUCUUACGCCACUUUUCCCCAUGUUUUGGCUCCAAAUGGAGUGAACCCCUAGAGACCUUGAAGGAAACGGUUCAAUUUCCACGAAUCUUGGAUCAUGGAAGUCUUGUAAGAAAUUCUCAUAUUCCAUGAGAAGAAAGAGUGAGUUAGGGUGGGGAGCAGCAAGGAUAUGUUUGAAAGAAAAAAUGCUGAAGUUAAGGCCACUAAUCUGCCACUCCAAAGGGCCACAACCAUAAUAAUAUUAAAGUUUUCUUGAAAAACUAAUUGCUUUUUCUUCAAUAUUUGCCUCUGUGGACACCAUAACAGCCAUAAAGAGUUAUAUAGCUUCAACCCUAUUACUGAAAUUAA